AUACUUACCUGGCAGGGGAGUUAUGAUGAUCAAGAAGGUGGUUUCCCCAGGGUGAGGUUUACCCAUUGCACUCUGAGUAUGCUGACCCUUGCAAUUUUCCCAAAUGUGGGAAACUCAACUGCAUAAUUUGUGGUAGUGGGGGGCUGUGUCCGUGCUCUCCCCUG